AGAAAAUAGAUACCCAGGUAGUCCACGCCCUAAACGAUGGAUACUAGGCGUAAGAGGUAUCGACCCCUCUUGUGCCGCAGCUAAACGCAUUAAGUAUCCCGCCUGGGGAGUACGGCCGCAAGGUUGAAACUCAAAUGAAUUGACGGGGACCCGCACAAGCGGUGGAGCAUGUGGAUUAAUUCGAUACUAACCGAAGAACCUUACCCAGGUUUGACAUCGAUUGAAAAGCCCAGAGAUGGGCUCCUCCCCCACAAGGGGACAUGAAGACACUUGUUGCAUGGCUGUCGUCAGCUCGUGCCGUGAGGUGUACGGUUAAGUCCGCCAACGAGCGCAACCCUCGUCCUGUGUUACCAGCGAGUAAAGUCGGGGACUCACAGGAGACCGCCGGUGUAAGCCGGAGGAAGGUGAGGAUGACGUCAAGUCAGCAUGGCAGUUACGCCUGGGGCUUCACACAUGCUACAAUGGGCGAAACNGAGGGCAGCAACACCGCGAGGUAGAGCCAAUCCCAAAAAUAGCCCCCAGUUCAGAUUGCAGUCU
rnacentral:rRNA from 1 species